rnacentral:lncRNA from 1 species
UCGGUGUCAGGAAACUACUCUGUGCCCAGCCUUUGGAGAGGAAUGACCCCUGCCCUUAAGUACUUACCAUUCAGUCAUAAAAAACAGGAACUGAGAUGUGUCUUGCAGGUCUCUGUGACCAAGAGGAAAAGACCAAGGAGUCCUGGAGAUGACCUAGUUCACAGGCUCUCUCUCUUUGUUCAUGCUCCUGUUUCGGCCAGUUCGUAUGAAGAAAAUGAGGCCCAGGAUGGACCUUGUUCUAUCUGGAAAAAGACAGAAAAGGGACCUUAGGACUGGAAAGGCAACUAUAGGAGCAGCACCCCCUGGUGGCGUUGGGGACCCAAGCUUGAGGCAAAACUCACUCAAGGACAGCAGAGCAGAGGGAAUGGAGUCCUUGAGCUGCUGCAUCCAACCUCCCAAACCUGCCAUCCUACUGAACUUCUGCUAUGAGAGUAA